rnacentral:siRNA from 1 species
GUAAAUCAAUCUCGGGUAUAGCA